rnacentral:rRNA from 1 species
CAGGAGGUUAGUGCAAUGGCAUAAGCCAGCUUGACUGCGAGCGUGACGGCGCGAGCAGGUGCGAAAGCAGGUCAUAGUGAUCCGGUGGUUCUGAAUGGAAGGGCCAUCGCUCAACGGAUAAAAGGUACUCCGGGGAUAACAGGCUGAUACCGCCCAAGAGUUCAUAUCGACGGCGGUGUUUGGCACCUCGAUGUCGGCUCAUCACAUCCUGGGGCUGAAGUAGGUCCCAAGGGUAUGGCUGUUCGCCAUUUAAAGUGGUACGCGAGCUGGGUUUAGAACGUCGUGAGACAGUUCGGUCCCUAUCUGCCGUGGGCGCUGGAGAAUUGAGGGGGGCUGCUCCUAGUACGAGAGGACCGGAGUGGACGCAUCACUGGUGUUCGGGUUGUCAUGCCAAUGGCACUGCCCGGUAGCUAAAUGCGGAAGAGAUAAGUGCUGAAAGCAUCUAAGCACGAAACUUGCCCCGAGAUGAGUUCUCCCUGAGACUU